rnacentral:rRNA from 1 species
CCUACGGGAGGCAGCAGUGGGGAAUAUUGGGCAAUGGGCGCAAGCCUGACCCAGCAACGCCGCGUGAAGGAUGAAGGCCCUCGGGUUGUAAACUUCUUUUAUCAGGGACGAAGCAUGUGACGGUUCCUGAUCAGUAAGUCACGGCUACCUACGUGCCAGCAGCCGCCGUACUACGUAGGUGGCAAGCGUUAUCCGGAUUUACUGGGUGUAAUGGGCGUGUAGGCGGGAAGGCAAGUCAUCGGUGAAAACCCUGCGCUCAACCUGGGGCCUGCAUUUGAAACUGUUUUUCUGGAGUGCGGGAGAGGCUGACGGAAUUCCAGGUGUAGGGGUGAAAUGCGUAGAUAUUAGGAGGAACAUCAGUGGCGAAGGCGAUCAGCUGGA